rnacentral:SRP_RNA from 6 species
UGUUGGUUCUCCCGCAACGCUACUCUGUUUACCAGGUCAGGUCCGGAAGGAAGCAGCCAAGGCAGAUGACGCAUGUGCCGGGAUGUAGCUGGCAGGG